rnacentral:rRNA from 1 species
GUAGUCCACGCCGUAAACGAUGGAUACUAGCUGUUGGGCGUAUCGACCCGCUCGGUAGCGAAGCUAACGCGUUAAGUAUCCCGCCUGGGGAGUACGGCCGCAAGGCUAAAACUCAAAGGAAUUGACGGGGACCCGCACAAGCGGUGGAGCGUGUGGUUUAAUUCGAGGCUACGCGAAGAACCUUACCAAGGCUUGACAUCCUGGUCGCACGUCUAAGAAAUUAGAUGGUCAUUUAGUUGGACCAGUGACAGGUGAUGCAUGGCCGUCGUCAGCUCGUGUCGUGAGAUGUUAGGUUAAG